GAGGGUGGAGUUCAGGGGCAGAGCACGUGCCUAGCAUGCACGAGGUCCUGGUUCAAUCCCCAGCACCUCCG
rfam:Camelus ferus unplaced genomic scaffold scaffold465, whole genome shotgun sequence.